rnacentral:lncRNA from 1 species
CCUUAAUUAAAGCCAUUUUUGAAUUUUCAUUGACACCAAAAAAAACUAGAACGUGUCCAUAGUACAUGGAUUCCCCACUCCCACUAUCAAUAUCUAUGCUCAGUGGACAGUGAAAUUGGGGUCAAAUUGGCAUUAAAAUUAGAAAGAUCAUAUCAUAGAGAACAUGUGUACAAGUUUCAAGUUGAUUGGACUUCAACUUCAUCAAAACUACCUCGACCAAAAACUUUAAUCCAAAAGUGGGACAGACAGACAAAUGAACAUAACCAUCCAUUAGUCUAAAGUUGUCAUGUGGCGAGUAAAUAAUUAAAUUUUAUUUGGACCAAAAUGAAACAACAUAUGAUAGACACAAAGUGAUGGAUGUCAGAUUAAAAGAUGAUGAAAAUUCCCAGAGUUGCUUCUACGUUUGGUUUAUUGAACAAGGAACUGACUUUGACUGGCCUUGUAACAGUUUUAUUCUAGUAUUAGCUCUUAUGUCACUCUAAUCAAUACCUGAUGACUCACACAGAAUAUUGAACAUGCUAAACUAAUGCUUAGUGCAAUUAUUCUGAUUUUAUUGUAAAAGGGCUGGCAGCGAUAUCUUAACAAAAUGUGCAUCUGCUUGGCUAACAGUCUGAUGAGAUAAUAAAGUUUAUUUGCCACUUUCAGCUUUAUUUUGAAUCUGCAGAUGUUAAUGUUCCUUCCAAUCUAUUAUUAGGUAAAAGCUAAUAAAAAAAAAUAUUGCUUCAUAUGAAUAAAAAAAAUUUCUGAGUGGUUAUCUAUAGUACACUUUUAUGUACAGCAACCUAGACCCUGAAUAACAAUAGUACAAAUAUUUACAAGUAUCAAAGUUGAACCCUAGGAAUUGCAAGGUAUAAAUUCUGUUUGUCCUAUUAUAAAUGUACCCAACCAUGUUUUGGAACUAUGAAAUUUUCAGGACAUAGCAAUAAAAAAUUUACAAUGAGAUUUUUUCAAUAGCAAAUUCACUAAGUAGAUAACCCCCAAAUAUACCUUGCAACUACAAAGGGAAGUAACAAAAACAAGGGAAAUAACUGUGAAUACAGUUUGGUCAUGAAUAUUAACAGUAUCACAAUUAUUAUCUACCCCUUUGACAAAAAUAUAAAAUGAGUGAUUAUACAUUUUGGCUAAAACACAACUAUCUUUAUACAAUUUGAAUAAGGCAUUUGAUCUGUAAACACAUGAUCAAAGAAAGUUUUACAAUAUUGGUAUCUUUCUUUUAAUUGCCACCUAAAUUUGAGAAUGCUAUCUACAUGUGUAUAUAUAAGUUGGUUUCUACACUACUCUUGUUACCUUUAUUUAACAGAUGGUUUCUUGCUGAACAACCAGUGGCUUUUGUUUAUUUGAAUAUCAUAUGUGGACAAAACUGGUUCAAGUGUUCAGAUCAGAAGUAGUUGCCAUUUGUUU